rnacentral:ncRNA from 1 species
ACAGGGGCGCCGGGUUUUCCCGGCUGAGACGACGCCAAUCGAAGCGCCGGUACCCUUUGACCUGAUCCGGGCAAUGCCGGCGGAGGGAGUGCGGAA